rnacentral:snRNA from 1 species
AUCUCUGGUUCCUUUGCAUUUGACCGAGAAAAUCUUUCGCCUUUUACUAAAGAUUUCCGUGCAAAGGCGCAUUUUAUGAGUAUCAAGUAAUUUUGGAAUCCCCUCGAAAGAGCGGGAUG